rnacentral:lncRNA from 1 species
CUGUCGCCUCGAUCCGGCAGCAGGCGCAUCACCGCGAGCCGGCGUCAGAAGGACGUUUCCCUUAGGUAUUCCCGGCGCGCGCCUCUCCCUCGCGACGCAGGACGCUUCUGAUAUUGGACAGAUGUUUGAUGGGCUUGAGUGGAAUAGGGACGUUUGAAACGCUGCCUUCGCCAGCACAGAUGAGACGGAUGGACGAGCGCACAUCACAGGGGCCCAUGGAAGUGGCUGGAGAUAUUCCUGAAUUGAAAAAGCCGUGGCGAAAUCCUGGAUAUCCUGAGAUUUGAAAGCCCCACAGGAGGAAGGAUUUACAAGGCCAAAGCGGUGAGUCCCAGCACGGGCGAAAAGAUCUGCUUUGGGUGGAUUUAGACUCCUCGGGCCCAUU